GGAACAUAUACCAAAUGUGGUUAAAAUCUUUUGAAGCAUAUUGGUUUUAGAGUGUCCACAAGGGUGAUAUUGCCUUGUAUUACAACUGCCACUAUGACCUUGACCUUUGAACUUUAAAGUCAAUAGCGCUUAAGAUAUUCUUAACGAGUAACACCAUACAAAGUUUUGAUCAUUUUGGUUCUAGAGUGUCCAUAACAAUUUCAUCUACACGCAACUUACACGUAGAAGCCGAGGGGAUAAUAAACUAAGUUUUAUAAGAAUUAGACAAAAAGAUCGAUUUCCCGCCAUGCAUGGCAGACUUGUACAGAAACGAUAUGUUGUCGAAAUUCUGUUCGUAUCUUUUAGACAUCGUAUGGCCAUCGCACCAUCAUCGUAAUCCAUCGUUUAGCCUCCGUAAUCCCUCGUUUAGCCUUCGUGAUCCAUCGUGUAGGCUUCUGCUGAGAUAUGAAGCUUAAAUACCCGUCUUCGGUUUACCUUCGUAUGUCCAUCUUUUGCUAUCGUAUAUAAUUUCGGCACCAUCGUAUAGACUUCGUUAUUCGUCGUACUUGCUUCGGUCACUUUUUGGUAUUUUAACGAGAUCGGGACCAACUUCGUACGAACUUACAAUUUUCGCAUACGGGUGUCCAUCGUAUAUAAAAAUCGGGACAGUGUGACGCGGGC
rnacentral:lncRNA from 1 species